AUGUGAAUUGCGAAAUUCUGGGCAGAAUCGGUUUUCCGGCACAGUAGACGGCGACUGCGGCGGCACUCUGGCGAGGCCUCAAGAGACAGAAUUCUCUUCUUCGCGCUGACCGUGAAAUCGUCGCCCGAUUCUCAACUGGAUCAAGUGGGUCAUUAUGGGUUUGUGAGGACGGUCGAUAAAGCAUGGAUCUGAAAUCGGUACCCCUGUGUGCGCCUGAUACCAUGGAUUAUAUAGAAACCAUAGAGUGGCCUCCUGUUGUGUGCACGUGAUAAUCUGGAUGUCAUGGAAGCUCACAGGGUGGCCUCCUAUUGUGUGCACCUGAUGAUCUAAAUUUGACGGAGACCACUGGGUUGCCUCCUGUUGG